rnacentral:lncRNA from 1 species
GGCAUAUGGAGGCUCCCAGGCUAGGAGUCUAAUCAGAGCUACAGCUGUUGGUCUACGCACAGCCACGGCAAUGCCAGAUCUGAGCCGCAUCUGUGACCUAUACCACAGCUCAUGGCAACGCCGGAUCCUUAACCCACUGAGCAAGGCCGGGGAUCAAACCCACAAUCUCAUGGUUACUAGUCAGAUUUGUUUCCACUGCAUCACGAUGGGUCCAAUUUGUGGUAUUUCUAACAUUUCAUUGUUAUAUUUCAAAGAGCACUUUUGGACACUAGUGUGUUAACCUCUUGAGGACAUGAUAUCUACCAAGGUCUGAUAGGUUCUGACAUAGUGUGUAGACAAGAGUCUUUCUACUUUUUCCAGAAUAAUUUGCUUGUUUAACUUUUAUUACAGUUUUUAAGUUUUCUGCAUGAUAAGGUUCCAUUUGUUUAGGUUUUUGCAAAGUGACAUAAAUAAGAAAAUUAAGUUAAAAAAAGCUGAACCUACCCCUUUUAAGUUAAGGAGCUGAUAAUUUUGUGAUUUACAAGUAUUUAGGCUGUCACUAGUCACCCAGUGUCUUGCUAAAGAGUUUUCCCCUCAGCAUGACAAAUCCAACUGAUUAACUGCCCUAAUAGCUACUGUGCACAUCCUUUCUUAGCAGGAAUCUUAGCAAUUUGGAAGUUUUUUUUCGUUUUUUUUUUUAACUAGAAUUUCACUUGCAUCUUUAAAAUACAGGAAGGAAGUUUCUUAUUUUAUGUGAUUGUAGAGACUGACCAAUCCAAAAAUGUCUAGAAUAGGCCAGCAGAGACUGGACCUUCAGGCAAGAGUUGACAUUGAAGUACUGAAUCUGAAAUCUGUAGGGCUGGCCAGUAGGCCAGAGACUCAGGCGAGAUAUCUAUGUUACAGUCUUGAAGCAGAAUUCCUUCUUCUUCAGUCAAUCUGUUUUUAUUCUUAAAUCCUUCAACUGAUAGGAUGAGAUCUGGCCACAUUAUCAAAGGUAAUCUUUCCUUGAAAUCAACUGAUGGGUGAUAUUAAUCCCAUCUACAAAAUACCCUUACAGUAAAAUCUAGACUACUAUUUUACCAAACAACCAGCCACCAUAGCCUCACCAAGUUUAUACAUAAUACCAACCAUUACAGAUAAGUAUUCAGUUUUCCCAAAGGUUGACAAAUACUUAAGGUGGUAUAAAUAACAGUAUUGUUAAAAUGUCUUGUGACUUCAUGGAGCACAUGAGUCAAUGCCAGGCUUUAUUCUCCCCUCUGAAGAGCUCUGAAGUUAAUUUGUUGGGACCUCCUGAAAGUUACAGCAGUUACACUCACAAAUAUGUUUCUUAAUUGCAGCCAUCCUGCAGGUUAGACUAAUAAUAGACUCUACUAUUCUAGCUUCCAAUGUGCACAGCCCACAAACUCACUUACAGAAUCUGUAGCAUUGCCACUGCCCAUGGUGAGAAUACCAAUGUUUAUGUGGAUAUCAAAGCUUAACUGUAAAGCUGAAGAACAUUUUUCAUCAAUGAAGGAAUAAUAUCAGGCAUUUUUCAUCUUAAACUUACCACAUCAGUCUCAAACUCUUUAAUUCGAGUUAAAAAUUUCAUAUUUCACUCAGCUGACUAUAAAUGAGCUCUUAGUUCUGUUUUUAUGUAUACAAUAGUAAUAAACAAUAACAAGAAGAAAUCAAAAUCAAAAAGGGGGCAGCUGAAAAAGUGUUUCUGGGAGUUCCUGCUGUGGUGCAGUGGGUUAAGGAUUCUGCGUGGCUGUAGCUGCCACAUAGGUUAAAGCUGCAGCUCGGAUUCAAAAUUACAGUACCAUUUAAACAGCAAAACUUGAAAAAGCAUGUAUUAUUUUAAGGUCACUACUGAGAAAGAGGAUAAACUCUGAGACAUGAGUUGGGGACAUUUGAGCAGAGGCAUUCAAUGCUAAAAUCUUUAAAUAGCCAAACCUCCCUGUUUCCUCCUUGCUAACAAAGAUUUCCUCCCUCUGUGAUCACAAUCACCCAGUACAUACAUACACACACACAAUGAAGGGACCAGAAUCCCUCUACAGAAGAAACAAAAGUUGAAGAGGCAUGAUAAUGUGAGAAAAGAAUGCAUACCUGUAUAUGUAACUGGGUCAUCAUGCUGUACAGUAGAAAAAUAUACUGUAUUGGGGAAAUAACAAUUGAUUACAAUUAAGACUACUUGAUAAGAGAAAAAUUAAUAAAUAAAAAAUUGAUGAUUUUUUAUUUUCUGUGUUUAGAUGCUUUGACAUCUGGGAUCUUGCUGACCCCAGGCUAGCCAGUUCUUAGAGCAAACAACUCAAAUGUAUAAGACUCUUGUAUAAAAUGGUGUAGUAUUUUCACAUAAUCUACACACAUCCACCACUAUACUUUAAGUCAUCUCUAGAUUACUUACAUUACCUAAUAAAAUGUAAAUGCUAUAAAAGUCAUUUUAAAUGCAAUGUAAACACAUGUAAAUAGUUGCUGUUACAAUGCAAAUCCAAAGUUUUGCUAUUUGGAAUGUUCUGGAAUAUUUUUUAAAAUAUUUUUGAUCCACAGCUGGUUGAAUUUACAGAUGCAGAACCUGUGGAUACAGAAAGCCAACUGUAUAUAUUUCCACUAAGAAAACAGCACAGGAGGGAGUUCCUGUCAUGGCUCAGUGGUAAUAAAUACAACUAGUAUCUAUGAGGACACAGAUUCGAUCCCUGGCUUUGCUUAGUGGGUUAAGGACCCAGCCUUGCCAUGAGCUGUGAUGUAGGUUGCAGAUGUUGCUCGGAUCCUCAUUGCUGUGGCUGUGGUGUAGGCCGGCAGCUACAGUUCUGAUUCAACCCCUAGCCUGGGAACUUCCAUAUGCCUCAGGUGCGGCCAUAAAAAAAAAGCAAAUAAAAUAACAUAAAACAGUAGAGGAAAGGAGAUAAGCAUAAUUCUUACCUUCAAACUAAUUAAUUAAGGAAAUUCUUUCCUAACAAACUCUGUGUAUCCCCAUUUUGUUGUUUAGUUAACAAUUUGCUCCUUAGUAGCUUUGGAAUACAGAUGUGGUUGGAAAUUGUCUGCUUAAAAAGUAAUGAAAAAAAUACAUUCAGCAAUCUGACAGCUUGUUUUUAAAGACUUUUUAAGUGAAAGUAAUGUGAACACAGUUACUUCCAGUGGAGAAAAAUAUUCUGUAUUCUGAUUUGCAUGUUAACUCCUUUGAAGUAUCAUUAUCUGAAAUAUCAGUAAUUGCUAUAUUUCAGUGGUUCCUAGAAGGUAUUUGAGUUGUAUUUUAUUUCUGUUUUUGUGUUUGUACUCCAAAAAGUUUCAACUGGGAAUUUAAGAGUGCUUUUUAAUAAAUAUUUCAAAACACACUCUUACUUUUCAAAGGUUCUUAUGUUUUUGCUAUGAGAACAAACAUACUUCAGAGACAUGCCUCAGAUAUGGCAUACCUCAUAAAGGCAUACCUUGAAGAUAAUGUGGGUUUGGGUCCAGACUACCACAAAAAAGCAAGACUAUCCCAAUAAAAUAUGGUACACAAUUUUUUGUUUGUUUGCUUGUUUUAGGGGAGGGGGUGUUGGCCAUACCCAUAGCAUGUGGAAUUUUCCAGGCCAGGGAUUAAACCUGCACCACAGCAGCAAACUGAGCUGAUGCAGUGACAAUACUGAUCUGUAACCCACUGCACCACAAGGGAAUUCUGAAAUUUUGGGUUUCCCAUUACACGCAAAACUUGUGUUCACACUAUAUUGUACACCAUACUGUAGUUUGUUAAGCGUGUGAUAGCACUAUGUCUAAAAAAAAUCCAAUGCACCUACCAUAAUUUUAAUACUUUAUUGCUAACCAUCAUCUGAGCCUUCAGCAAGUCAUAAUCUUUUUGCUGAUGAAGAAGCUUGCCUUGAUGUUGAUGGCUGUUGCUGGCUGAUCAGGGUUUCUUUGCUGAGGGUUGAGGUAGACAUGACAAUUUCUUUAAAUAAGAAAAAAAUGAAGUUUGUCACAUUGGCUGUUCCUUUCAUGAACAACUUCUCUAGACCAUACAAUGCUAUUCUAUAGCAUUUUACUCAUGGUAGCACUUCUUUCAAAAUUGGAGUCAAUCAUCCCAAACCAUGCUGCUGCUUUAUUAACUAAGUUAUGUAAUAUUCUAAAUCCUUUGUUGUCAUUUUCACAAUGUUUACCGCAUCUUCACUAGCAGUAGAUUCUACCUCAAGAAGCCUUUUGAAACUAAAAUGUAUUAAUAUAUCUAAAUCAAAUCAAGACAAUUUUUCUAUGAAAACUGUGAAAGUGGAAAACCUUGCUUUGAAUUCCAUAUACACAUAGAAAUAACUUACAGGAUGCUCUGAGCCUCUUUAAUGGCACAUGGCAGCUUCAAGGAAAUGCUGAUUGAAUAAACAAAGUAAAAAAUUGUUUUCAAGUAGAUAAGCAUUUAUAUCAGAGAGAAAUUUCUCCAUUGCAAGCAAUAAAUCUAAAUGAUAAAAUAGUACAUAUAUACAAACUUAAAAAAUGGUGGCAAUUCAUGAUACAAGUUACUAACCACAAGCUGGGAAGGCAUCAGUCAAGCCUGGGUAUCUUCAAAGACUGCAAUGUAUUCAAUUCCUCUAUCUUCCAUUAUGUCUAUGUCAUGCUAAGGCUAAAAACCAUCUUAGUCACAGAAUGGCUGCUGGCAGCUUCCAAUGCUACAGGUUUCCUGACUAAAUCCCAGCUAAUGAAAUGACUCUCUACAAGUAACUUUUGUUGAAAAUCACAAAUGCUUGUUCUCAAGAAACCUGUCUCAAGGAUGUAUACAUGGAGUUCCCUUUGUGGCUCAGCGGUUAGCAAACCAACUAGCAUCCAUGAGAAUGUGGAUUUGGUCCCUGGCCUUUCUCAGUGAGUUAAGGAUCUGGCAUUGCUGUGAUCUCUGGUGUAGGUCCCAGACUUUGCUCAGAUCUGUAAUUGCUGUGGCUGUGGCAUAGGCCAGCAACUGUAUCUCCAAUUAGACCCCUAGCUUGGGAACCUCCAUGUGCCACAGGUGCAGCCCUAAAAAGUAAAAAAUAAAAAAAGAAUCUUGAAGGGAGUGCUAACUAACUUGAAAGAAAGGUUUGAGGAUAAGUUCAGUUUCCAUAGAGUUACAUGGAUUGCCUGGGGAAGGGGUCAAUGCCUGAAAAGCAAUUCAGAAAGUGUUACCCCUAUAAACACACACAAAAGAGAGAGGAUUGAUGGUGUUGAGCCCCAGAUAGUGACAUUUCCUAUAUAUAUAUAUAUUUUUAAAUAUUAGCAUAUCCUAUAAUUCUUGAGGGAGUAGGUGUUAUGCGUUGAAUUAGGAAUCUAAAUAAAAGUAAUAGAGAAAUACUAUAAAUGAACUCAUUUAAAAUAGGAAAAAUAUAUAUUAGAAUGGAAAGAAUGUGUUUUAUCCAUGGAAUAACUAGUCCCUCACCUUAACAUUCUAGUGUUGUGGAAAUUUAUACUAGUAGGAAAAAAAUUGUUGGUAAAAGUUUGAAGGAGUAAAUUCACUCUAUAAGGUUUUAAGGUAACUAAAAACACCCCUAAACUAAUCUGAACUGAAACAAGGGAUCUUCAUGAAGCCUGAAAUUUUUGGUGUUCAGCAGAACUGUUUACAACCAGAAAUUAAGCUCAUUUUAGUGUAAGGAGCUUUGCAUAUAAGCUGAUUUUAGAGACUGCUGAAAUUCAGAAUGUAAAUGGUUUUAAUCUAACGGUGUCCCUGCUUUGUAAUAAAUGCAGCUCGGCCUGCAUCUUUGUUUCCCAUUAAUCACUGGCAUUUUCAAUUCACUUUGUUAGGCCCCAAAGUAGCCAGCAUAUUGGACCAAACCCAUAUCUGAACUGUUUGGCUCAUAGGGGUUUAAUUAUCUUAUGGUCAGGAAAUCUGUGGGGAUGUGAACAUUUAUUUAUUUAUUUAUUUAAAGAACAAAGAAAGAAAAGAGCCGUGUCUCAGUACACACACAUAGCUUGUGGGUAUACAUUUCUAAUCAGAAUUCAUGUAUACAAAUAAAUCUGUUUAUUUUGUUAGGAUUUAAAAGUUGCAAAGAUAUUUCAAGGACUAAUUUCUAAAUUUCUCCAAGGACUUUCAUUUGUCUUUUAGACACCUAAAUUAAUAUUUUCUAUUCUUUAACUUCUGUGCCUGGUGCUAUUAAUAAUCCUUUCAAAUAACUCAGUGCCUAAUAGGUACCAGAAACUAUGCCAGGAAUAUUGUCUAUUUUAUCACUAAUAAUAACAAUUUUGUUCAGUUUAGGUAUUAUAGUCCCAUUUUAAUUAUGGCGAAACUGAGACUCAGGGAAAUUUUUUAAAAUUACCUAGUCAAUAAAACUAAGAAGAGAUAAAGCCUGCCUUUGAUUUCAGAAUACAAAAUUAUUUUCUGGGCAGGAAAUACCACUGUAACCUUUCAAGUUGAUUCUGUUUUUCCUUUAUCAUCUUCAUGCAUUAGGUAACAAAAAAUGAAGCAUUUAUGUUAAAGGAGGAAUGUCUCUUGCAUAUUAGUGUUAUUUUAGAACUACAGAUCAUUAAAUAUCUUUAUACAAAAAAAGUAAAAAAUAGAGGAAAACGUUCAUUUCUAUAUUUCAUAAAAACAUCCGCUCUCUGAGUCGAAAGACUGAAAUAUUUAAAGAUGGAAGAACUGACUUUCUUAGACAGACAUUAGUUGUUAAUUUGGUUCUUCUCUAAUACCAUCGCAUCUAUAAAAAGAGGAAGGAGGUCUUUAGGGACUUAGAAGAAAAAGAUCAAGAUGUUAGAACUAAGUCUAGUUUUUCUUCUCUUGGGUAGGUACCUGGGCUGGCUGUUUUGUGUUUGCCCUGCCAAACCCACCUCUAGACUUUUCGUCCUGGAUCAUUGCAAACUGACCUAUGUGGUCUGUAACUUCCUGUUCUCACCUUCUCAGGCUUCUUUUGAGUUCAUUCCAUGGGAAGUUCUGGCAGAAAAUGAGAGGACAGGAAGAAAUUGAGGUUCUGUUUUUGGUUUACAGACUCCUUUGCUUCAGGAUCACUAUCAGACAGCUGCAUUCUCUAAUAGAGAGACCAGUUUUGUCAGAAGAUCCUCACAAUGCACCUACCCACCCUGGG